UACGAGGGGAGCAAGCGUUGUUCGGAUUUACUGGGCGUAAAGGGCGCGUAGGCGGCCACCGCAAGUCGACUGUGAAAUCUCCGGGCUUAACCCGGAAAGGUCAGCCGAUACUGCGGGGCUAGAGUGCAGAAGGGGCAACUGGAAUUCUCGGUGUAGCGGUGAAAUGCGUAGAUAUCGAGAGGAACACCAGAGGCGAAGGCGGCGGCCUGGACAGUUACUGACACUCAACUACGAAAGCGUGGGGAGCAAACAGG
rnacentral:rRNA from 1 species